AUGUGUAAUAAGAGGUUUAGGUGGGUGGAGAGAGUCGUGAGUUUACAGCAGCAGGUUUUUGUACGAGCACUGAACCUGUUUGUAUCACUGUGGUGGACUUUCGGUGGAGGCACCAAACUAGAAGUUGGCACUGUUACCCCGCCCACCGUGGCCGUGUUGAAACCCUCUAGCACAGAGCCGCAGCAGGGGAAGGACACGCUGGUGUGUGUGGCCUACAAGGGAUUCCCCUCGGACUGGAGGCUAAGCUGGAAGGUGGACGGUCAGAGCUGGAGCUCGGGGGAAAGCAGCAGCACGGCUCUUCUCCACACUGAUGGUCUCUACACAUGGAGCAGCACAUUGAACCUCCAACCAGAUCAGUGGAGGAACAAAGUUCUGACCUGCGAAGCCUCCAAACCCAACCAGGCUCCUGUGGUCAGCACACUGACCCCAGAUCAGUGCUCAAACCUGUGAGCUCAUCUAGACGUCACUCAGCUUCUACUGCUUCUACUGCACAAGUGUAGCUUUCAUGUGGACUUUAUUACUGAUAUAUUCCAGUGUAACAUUUAUUCUGCAGUGUUUGUGUAGACAUUAUAUUUCAUUUUAAAUAAUCUGACACCUGUAAGCUCACACACUUCUCACAUUCACCAUGUCUUCUUAACGAUCAGCUCAACAUGAGGUACUGUCUACGUCUCUAAAAUCUUCUGCUUUGCAUCAUCAAUAAAAUCAUUUCAA